UCGAUGGAGUGAUCAUGGAUAUCGCGAUUCGUCCAGGUAGCGUAAAUUAUUCUCUGGGUGAAGAAUGGCGGAUGGAGAGAAAGUCUGGGAAACUGCCUGAUGGAGGGGGAUAACUACUGGAAACGGUAGCUAAUACCGCAUGACCUCGCAAGAGCAAAGUGGGGGACCUUCGGGCCUCACGCCAUCGGAUGUGCCCAGAUGGGAUUAGCUAGUAGGUGGGGUAAUGGCUCACCUAGGCGACGAUCCCUAGCUGGUCUGAGAGGAUGACCAGCCACACUGGAACUGAGACACGGUCCAGACUCCUACGGGAGGCAUCAGUGGGGAAUAUUGCUCAAUGGGCGCAAGCCCGAUGCAUCCUUGCCGCGUGUGUGACUAGGCCUCUAUGGUUGUAAA
rnacentral:rRNA from 1 species